UCACUUUCUCUCUCUCGGUUCUCUCACUCUCUAUCCAUCUUCGUCUUCUUCAAAGUGUUCAUGAAGAACACAUGAAGACCGGUGGCCGGACCACCGCGGGUUCCAGAAUCCGGCGCGGCGGCGCCGCCGGGAAACUUUAUUUUUUGGUCAAAAUCCCCUUUUUUAUUUGUUUAUUAUUAUUAUUAUUAUUGUUAUUAUAUUAUUGUUAUUAUUAUUAUUUUACCGGUUCCUCUUUGUUUUGAAACCCAAUAACAACUCAAAUCUUCCUUUUAAGCCACUUGUUUUAUAAUCUUAAACCCAGAUUGAAUACCAUAAACAAAUUCCUACAGAACGGAUUAAUUCCUUUCUAUACACCACUCUAUUAUUAAUCCAAAAAUCAGACAAAAUUACACAAAUACACACAUAAUCAGCAACAAAAAACUCAAAGGUAAAAAGGGUAAAAGAGUAUCUACUUGGAAUGCAGUGAUCCUCUGGUGUAAAAAGCUCCUGUUUUCCUCUGUCUUAUGCUUCGUUCUCUGUCUCCUCCUUCUCCUUUCUUGCCGCUGAUUUUUUGAUUUUGUGUAAACAGAGACUGUUGGAUAGUCCUUUGGGUUCUGAUUUAUCUGAGGGGUUUUUUGUGUGUAUGUUUUUUUUGGUUUUCUCUUUUGCGUGUUAUCUCCCCUUAUUGUGAAGAAUUGCUUUGUGAUUUAUAGCCAGAGGGAUUAGAGUUAUCAUCCACUUGUUUUAUAAUCUUAAACCCAGAUUGAAUACCAUAAACAAAUUCCUACAGAACGGAUUAAUUCCUUUCUAUACACCACUCUAUUAUUAAUCCAAAAAUCAGACAAAAUUACACAAAUACACACAUAAUCAGCAACAAAAAACUCAAAGGUAAAAAGGGUAAAAGAGUAUCUACUUGGAAUGCAGUGAUCCUCUGGUGUAAAAAGCUCCUGUUUUCCUCUGUCUUAUGCUUCGUUCUCUGUCUCCUCCUUCUCCUUUCUUGCCGCUGAUUUUUUGAUUUUGUGUAAACAGAGACUGUUGGAUAGUCCUUUGGGUUCUGAUUUAUCUGAGGGGUUUUUUGUGUGUAUGUUUUUUUUGGUUUUCUCUUUUGCGUGUUAUCUCCCCUUAUUGUGAAGAAUUGCUUUGUGAUUUAUAGCCAGAGGGAUUAGAGUUAGCAUUGAUUGUGAUUGAUUAAUUUUGGAGUGGAAUCUUAUGAGUUGAAUGCAAUUUAUGAAUGAAUGAUGAACUUUCCAUUUGGAGUUUGAUUUGUUUUGUUUGAAUUGGAAAAAAAAUUAAAACUGCAAGCUUGAAAAAUGAGAGGAAUUGGUGCUGCCUGUGUUGUGCGUGUUCUGCUUUUUGUUUAACUUUGCUACUAAUAACAAUAAUAAUAAAAGAAAAUAAAAAGAUGUAAAAGAUGGGAUUUGAUCCCAAGACCUUGCACUCAAAAUGCCUUAAACACUCUCCUCAUCACCAUACAAGCUAAAUGACAUAUUUGAAAGAAAAAAAAUGUAACAAAACUUUAUAUCACAAAAGAGUGGGCAAAAUUUAGGAUUCGACACCCUAUAAAUAGCAACCAUCACCCUCACCAGUUCUUCACACCAGCUCUGCUCUCCCUCUCUGCAUACAAUUGAAUUAGUGCAGGAUACUAAGACCUCAAGUUGAAGUUCAUUGAGAAAAGGAAAAUGGCAUUGUGAAAGACAUUAAAAUAAAGAACGUUAGUGCUGAUUGGUGGUCUAGUUUUAUUUUUGGAUUCCGAAGAGAAAGAUCUCUUUGAUAUGUAUUGAUGACGUUAUUGGAGUACUCUCUAGGUGACAUGUAUCUUAGUGUUUGACCAGCUUGUGAUCAUUUGUGGGUUAGAGUCUUUUGUAGGAAUUUAUCUUUUAUUAUUUCAUAUUGAAAAAUUGUAAGAUACUUAUGUGAAAUGAAAAUGUUUUAUAUUUGAAAA